GAUGAACGCUGGCGGCGUGCCUAAUACAUGCAAGUAGAACGCUGAAGCUUGGUGCUUGCACCGAGCGGAGGAGUUGCGAACGGGUGAGUAACGCGUAGGUAACCUGCCUCUUAGCGGGGGAUAACUAUUGGAAACGAUAGCUAAUACCGCAUAAAAGUCGACAUUGCAUGAUGUUGACUUGAAAGGUGCAAAUGCAUCACUAAGAGAUGGACCUGCGUUGUAUUAGCUAGUUGGUGAGGUAACGGCUCACCAAGGCGACGAUACAUAGCCGACCUGAGAGGGUGAUCGGCCACACUGGGACUGAGACACGGCCCAGACUCCUACGGGAGGCAGCAGUAGGGAAUCUUCGGCAAUGGACGGAAGUCUGACCGAGCAACGCCGCGUGAGUGAAGAAGGUUUUCGGAUCGUAAAGCUCUGUUGUAAGAGAAGAACGAGUGUGAGAGUGGAAAGUUCACACUGUGACGGUAACUUACCAGAAAGGGACGGCUAACUACGUGC
rnacentral:rRNA from 1 species